rnacentral:rRNA from 1 species
CUUGGGUACUCGAGUGGCGAACGGGUGAGUAACACGUGGGUGAUCUGCCCUGCACUUCGGGAUAAGCUUGGGAAACUGGGUCUAAUACCGGAUAGGAACCGUCUUUAGUGUGGUGGUUGGAAAGUUUUUCGGUGCAAGAUGAGCUCGCGGCCUAUCAGCUUGUUGGUGGGGUAAUGGCCUACCAAGGCGUCGACGGGUAGCCGGCCUGAGAGGGUGUACGGCCACAUUGGGACUGAGACACGGCCCAG